GGGCUAGUAACUUAAUAGGUAAAGUACUACCUUGUCAAGGAAGGAGAUACCGGAUCGAAGCCGGCCUAGCUCG
rnacentral:tRNA from 1 species